rnacentral:rRNA from 1 species
UCAGAAUGAACGCUGGCGGCGUGCUUAACACAUGCAAGUCGCACGAGAACACCUCAGCUUGCUGAGGUAAGUAAAGUGGCGCACGGGUGAGUAACGCGUGGGGUAAUCUGUCCCUGGGUUCGGGAUAACUCCGCGAAAGCGGGGCUAAUACCGGAUGACAUCAUUGAGGCUUUGGUUUCAAUGAUUAAAGGUGGCCUCUCCAUGGAAGCUAUUGCUUGGGGGUGAGCCCGCGUACCAUUAGCUGGUUGGUAGGGUAAUGGCCUACCAAGGCGACGAUGGUUAGCUGGUCUGAGAGGAUGAUCAGCCACACUGGAACUGACACACGGUCCAGACUCCUACGGGAGGCAAGCAGUGAGGAAUUUUGCGCAAUGGGGGGAACCCUGACGCAGCAACGCCGCGUGAGUGAUGAAGGCCUUCGGGUCGUAAAGCUCUGUCAAGUGGGAAGAAUCCAUCCUGGCCCAACACGUAGGGGUGUUGACGGUACCACUGAAGGAAGCACCGGUUAACUCCGUGCCAGCAGCCGCGGUAAUACCGGAGGGUACAAGCGUAAUUCGGAAUUAAUUGGGCGUAAAGGGCGCGUAGGCGACCCAGGCAAGUCAGAUGUGAAAUCCCGGGGCUUAAACCCCGGAAGUGCCAUUGAAACCUGCUUGGGUUUGAGUAUGGGAGAAGGGCAAGUGGAAUCCCUUGGUGUAGCGGUGACAAUGCGUAGAUAUCAGGAGGAA